GAUGAACGCUGGCGGCGUGCCUAAUACAUGCAAGUCGAGCGAACAGAUGAGGAGCUUGCUCCUCUGACGUUAGCGGCGGACGGGUGAGUAACACGUGGAUAACCUCCCUAUAAGACUGGGAUAACUUCGGGAAACCGGAGCUAAUACCGGAUAAUAUAUUGAACCGCAUGGUUCAAUAGUGUAAGACGGUUUUGCUGUCACUUAUAGAUGGAUCCGCGCCGCAUUAGCUAGUUGGUAAGGUAACGGCUUACCAAGGCAACGAUGCGUAGCCGACCUGAGAGGGUGAUCGACCACACUGGAACUGAGACACGGUCCAGACUCCUACGGGAGGCAGCAGUAGGGAAUCUUCCGCAAUGGGCGAAAGCCUGACGGAGCAGCGCCGCGUGAGUGAUGAAGGUCUUCGGAUCGUAAAACUCUGUUAUUAGGGAAGAACAAAUGUGUAAGUAACUAUGCACGUCUUGACGGUACCUAAUCAGAAAGCCACGGCUAACUACGUG
rnacentral:rRNA from 1 species